rnacentral:ncRNA from 1 species
CGAAAAGCGUGGAAAGACAUCAGUAGAAGGAAAGCCAUGUGUUUCAGAGAGCCGGUGGGUGGUGCGAACCGGCAGCAGGCCCCUUUGAAUUACAGUCUGGAGCUGUCCGGAGGAACUACAAGCGCAUUUCGCUUGUUCAGUAGUCCUGGACCGGGUGCAAGCCCGUUAUGGCAAUGAAGUGAAAGAGAAUGCCUGUGCUCCGGCACGGCAAAUCUUUAAUUAGGGUGGUACCGCGAGCCUCUUACUCGUCCCUUGG